rnacentral:rRNA from 1 species
GAUGAACGCUGGCGGCGUGCCUAAUACAUGCAAGUCGAGCGAACAGAUGAGGAGCUUGCUCCUCUGACGUUAGCGGCGGACGGGUGAGUAACACGUGGAUAACCUACCUAUAAGACUGGGAUAACUUCGGGAAACCGGAGCUAAUACCGGAUAAUAUAUUGAACCGCAUGGUUCAAUAGUGAAAGACGGUUUUGCUGUCACUUAUAGAUGGAUCCGCGCCGCAUUAGCUAGUUGGUAAGGUAACGGCUUACCAAGGCAACGAUGCGUAGCCGACCUGAGAGGGUGAUCGGCCACACUGGAACUGAGACACGGCCCAGACUCCUACGGGAGGCAGCAGUAGGGAAUCUUCCGCAAUGGGCGAAAGCCUGACGGAGCAACGCCGCGUGAGUGAUGAAGGUCUUCGGAUCGUAAAGCUCUGUUAGUAGGGAAGAAAAAAUGUGUAAGUAACUAUGCACGUCUUGACGGUACCUAAUCAGAAAGCCACGGCUAACUACGUG